rnacentral:rRNA from 1 species
GGUUUGAUUCUGGCUCAGAUUGAACGCUGGCGGGAUGCUUUACACAUGCGUCGAACGGCAGCACGGACUUCGGUCUGGUGGCGAGUGGCGAACGGGUGAGUAAUGUAUCGGAACGUGCCUAGUAGUGGGAUAACUACGCAGCAGCACAUUACUGCAUACGGCUUUCGGGAAAGCGGGGACCUUUCGGGCUCAAAAUUAUUAGAGCGGCUGAUAUCGGAUUAGCUAGUUGGUGGGGUGACUGGUCAAGGCGACGAUCCGUAGCUGGUUUGAGAGGACGACCAGCCACACUGGGACUGAGACAUGGCCCACUCCUACGGGAGGCAGUGGUGGGGAAUUUUCCGGACAAUGGGGGAAACUCCCGAUCCAGCCAUCCCGCGUGCGAUGAAGGCUCUUCGGGUUGUGGAAGCACUCUUGGCAGGGAACGGCACGAUAAUUACCUCGUGCAACUGACGGUACCUGUGAUUAAGCACCGGUUAACUACGUGCCAGCAGCUGCGGUAAUACGUAGGGUGCAAGCGUUAAUCGGAAUUACUGCUAAAGCGUGGCGCAGGCGGUUCGGGAAAGAAAGAUGUGAAAUCCCAGAGCUUAACUUUGGAACUGCAUUUUUAACUACCGAGCUAGAGGUGUCAGAGGGAGGUGGGAAUCUCCGCGUAGCAGGAAUGCGUAUAUAUGGAGGAACACCGAUGGCGAAGGCAGCUUUCCUGAUAACAUCGACGCUUCCGGCGCACGAAAGCGUGGGGAGCAAACAGGAUUAGAUACCCUGAACCACGCCCUAAACGAUGUCAAUUCAGUCGCUAGCUUCCUUCGCCUUGGUAGCGCAGCUAACGCGUGAAGUUGACCGCCCGCUGGGGAGUACGGUCGCAAGAUUAAAAACUCAAAGGAAUUGACGGGGACCCGCACAAGCGGUGGAUGAUGUGGAUUAAUUGAUGAACCGCGAAAACCUUAGCCUACUUCGGUGACAUGUCUGGAAUCCUGAAGAGAUUUGAGUGCUCGCAAGGAGAACCGGAACACAGGUGCUGCAUGGCUGUCGCUCAGCUCGUGUUGUGAGAUGUUGGGUUAAGUCCCGCAACGAGCGCAACCUUGUCAUUAGUUGCUACGAAAGGACACUCUAAUGACUGCUGGUAUAAACCGGAGGAAGGUGGGAUGACGUCAAGUCCUCAUGCUGGCCCUAUGGGUAGGGCUUCACACGUCAUACAAUGGUCGGGACAGAGGGGUCGCCAACCCGCGAGGGGGAGCUAACCCCAGAAACCCGGAUCGUAGUCCGGAUCGCAGUCUGCAACUCGACUGCGUGAAGUCGGAAUCGCUAGUAAUCGCGGAUCAGCAUGUCGCGGUGAAUACGUUCCCGGGUCUUGCACACACCGCCCGUCACACCAUGGGAGUGGGUUUUACCAGAAGUAGUUAGCCUAACCGUAAGGAGGGCGAUUACGGUAGGAUUCAUGACUGGGGUGAAGUCGUAAUAGAAGGUAG